AAUCGACUGGCCGUUCAUCACGAUGAAGAUCCUUUUGCUCGUAACAGUGGCGGCUGUGGCCCUUGGAGACGACCUGGUAGACCGGCAGCGGGACGACAGCGAGUACCACUUCGCUUGGCUCCACGACGGCGGGCGACCUACGACUGGCAGG